AGUGAACGCUGGCGGUAGGCCUAACACAUGCAAGUCGAACGGCAGCACAGGAGAGCUUGCUCUCUGGGUGGCGAGUGGCGGACGGGUGAGGAAUACAUCGGAAUCUACCUUUUCGUGGGGGAUAACGUAGGGAAACUUACGCUAAUACCGCAUAAGGACCUUCGGGUGAAAGCAGGGGACCUUCGGGCCUUGCGCGGAUAGAUGAGCCGAUGUCGGAUUAGCUUGUUGGCGGGUAAAAGCCCACCAAGGCGACGAUCCGUAGCUGGUCUGAGAGGAUGAUCAGCCACACUGGAACUGAGACACGGUCCAGACUCCUACGGGAGGCAGCAGUGGGGAAUAUUGGACAAUGGGCGCAAGCCUGAUCCAGCCAUACCGCGUGGGUGAAGAAGGCCUUCGGGUUGUAAAGCCCUUUUGUUGGGAAAGAAAACUUGCGGGCUAAUACCCAGCAAGUCUGACGGUACCCAAAGAAUAAGCACCGGCUAACUUCGUG
rnacentral:rRNA from 1 species